UACGGAGGGUGCAAGCGUUAUCCGGAUUCACUGGGUUUAAAGGGUGCGUAGGCGGUCUAUUAAGUCAGUGCUGAAAUAUCCCGGCUUAACCGGGAGGGUGGCAUUGAUACUGAUGGACUUGAGUGCAGUAGAGGUAGGCGGAAUUGACGGUGUAGCGGUGAAAUGCUUAGAUAUCGUCAAGAACACCGAUAGUGAAGACAGCUUACUAGACUGUAACUGACGCUGAGGCACGAAAGUGUGGGGAUCAAACAGG
rnacentral:rRNA from 1 species